rnacentral:rRNA from 1 species
AUUGAACGCUGGCGGCAGGCUUAACACAUGCAAGUCGAGCGGAGCGAGGGUGCUUGCACCUUAGCUUAGCGGCGGACGGGUGAGCAAUGCUUAGGAAUCUGCCUAUUAGUGGGGGACAACAUUCCGAAAGGAAUGCUAAUACCGCAUACGCCCUACGGGGGAAAGCAGGGGAUCUUCGGACCUUGCGCUAAUAGAUGAGCCUAAGUCGGAUUAGCUAGUCGGUGGGGUAAAGGCCUACCAAGGCGACGAUCUGUAGCGGGUCUGAGAGGAUGAUCCGCCACACUGGGACUGAGACACGGCCCAGACUCCUACGGGAGGCAGCAGUGGGGAAUAUUGGACAAUGGGCGGAAGCCUGAUCCAGCCAUGCCGCGUGUGUGAAGAAGGCCUUUUGGUUGUAAAGCACUUUAAGCGAGGAGGAGGCUACUUAGAUUAAUACUCUGGGAUAGUGGACGUUACUCGCAGAAUAAGCACCGGCUAACUCUGUGCCAGCCGCCGCGGUAAAAC